CAUCAUAUUGAAUAUCACAGUUUAGCUGAGCAGGAGUUAUAGGUUUAUUAUCAGUCUAUGCAAGACUGAAAAAAAAAAAGUCAAAACAAAUUCCAUUUUGCUUAAGGGAGCAUUGUAAAAUAACAAUUCUUGGUAUUACACGCCUCAUAGGAUCCAUUUCAGACCAUAGAGAAUUACAUUUUCAUGCGUCACUGUUCCAAGAGACAAAUGCGAACAGCUAAACCAUCUUAAAAAUGCACCAUGCUUAGGAAAUCUCAAACAAAACCUGAAUUUUCUGUACAUGCUCCUGUCAAAGGAAGUUAUUUGCUGUCCACCACUCCUCUUGCAAACUGGUUUUUCUAUUUCCUUUCAUUUGACCUAGAUGGGCUAUGAGACCUAGAAAAAGACCAGGACGGCUUGUGAUUUCUCUGCAGAGAAAGUGACCUCUCUCUUCUCCUAUCUCUAGAAAGGGACCUGCUCCGGCUACAGGAGAAGCUUCUCCAUCUUGGAGAUGCACGGUAAGGUGGAGGACUCCUCCGACAACCAUCUAGAGGACGAUAACCCCAAGAAGGAGAGGUUGGUACAAGACUAUGCUUCGUCCAGGCUGCCCUGCAAAUUACAAUUCCAGCUUUACCUUGGCCUCUCCUGGGAGAAGACCGAGACAAAGCCUUCUGUGGCUCUAAUUAGGCUGUAAUUUGGCCUCCGAGCCGUGGAGGUCGGGAUAUGCAGCUUUAGCAGAGAUCUGCGUCCUGUCUCUGGGAACAGUGGCUUUGUUAACAUGCUUCUCUGGUGUGUCAUCCGUCUCACUGUUUCUCGUAUGGGGUUUUCAGAUGCUGCUCACUGGUUCUUUGGGGAUAGUUGUUUUUUUAAAGCGUUUUUCGCAGUCUUCAAGGUUUGAUUCUUUAAGGAUGCAUUUCCUAGUGUUUAACUUUAUUGGUCUUUGGCACUUAUUUGGACAAUGUAGGAGGCCGAGUUAGAACUGAAUUGCUGUUUAGAUGAGACAAAGGCGCAUUUAUGAUUGACUAAGAUACUCACACGGAUUGUUUAAUUAUCUUCCAGAACAUACGUGUGCAAUUGUAGUCCUUCGGAUGUAUUUUGGGAAAGGGAACUGACUACUUAAAGGAUAAAAUUUGAAAGAGGUGAAAUGGAGAUUUUCAUGGGGUUUGAAUCUCUGGGUCAAAAUCAGGUCUAUACCUUCAAAACAACUUUUAUGUUGUCUUUAAAAACAAGGUUACUAGGAAUUGUCUGUAUUCAAUGUGUGUGCUUGGAUCCUUAACCAAUUCAAAGGACCUGAGAUGAUUGAGAAACCAAUGCUGUCUUACGUACUGCGUUUAUCUUGAGGUGAUUCAGAAAUUAAAAGUGAAAACAGAACAACUGUGAUUCAGGACAUUUUUGUAAGGAGGGAAAAUACAAGGAAGGAAAAAAAAGUAAAAUUCCCCUCUUUGGAACUUACGUGGUCUGCAGAAAAAUAGUUUACUCAGCACGGUGUCUCCAAAAUACAUGCGUAUAUAUGUAUUUCAGUCAUUUUUCUUUAGCCAAGUAUCUGUCACCUCACUGGUGCUUUAAUUCCUCACAUCUAAUUGGUGAUCAGAACCCUGAAUUCUGUUAAAUGAAGCUUUUAAUCUGUCCCUUCUUGUCCAACCCAGCUGCCCUGCUGCUACUUUGACUUCUCGCCUUUUUUGUUGUUGUCUUUUGUUUUCUGGCCGCCCCCCCACGGCCUGCGGAAGUUCCAGGGUUCAACCUGUGCCACAGCAGUGACAAUGCCGCAUCUUUAACCCAAUGAACCACCAGGGAACUCUGACCCCCCCCCAAAUCUUCCGUCCGCCAACCUGCCUUUUACACAGCUGGCACAGCCAUGGCUCCUUCCUAAACAUACCUGGUCAAGUCAUUCUGCCACUUAAAAUCCUUCUGUCUGUAUUUCACAGAGGAAAAAAAAAAAAAAACCAGUAGGACAAAGACACAAAAUAAAGAUGGGGACAAGACAAAACA
rnacentral:lncRNA from 1 species